UACCUGCAGCUCAAGUGGUGGCCGUUAUUAUUGGGCCUAAAACGUCCGUAGCCGGUUUAUUAAAUGCCUGGGUAAAUCGGGCCGCUUAACGGUUCGAAUUCCGGGUAGACUGAUAGACUUGGGACCGGGAGAAGCUAGAGGUACUCCUGGGGUAGAGGUGAAAUUCUGUAAUCCUAGGGGGACCACCAGUGGCGAAGGCGUCUAGCUAGAACGGGUCUGACGGUGAGGGACGAAGCCCUGGGGCGCAAACCGGAUUAGAUACCCGGGUAGUCCAGGGUGUAAACGCUGCUUGCUUGAUGUUAGUCGGGCUCCGAGCCCGAUUAGUGUCGGAGAGAAGUUGUUAAGCAAGCUGCCUGGGAAGUACGGCCGCAAGACUGAAACUUAAAGGAAUUGGCGGGGGAGCACAGCAACGGGUGGAGCGUGCGGUUU
rnacentral:rRNA from 1 species